ensembl:lncRNA
AAAGGCAUUUCAUUCAUUCAUAACGCCAACACCCCCUCCACCCACCCAUAAAGUUUUGUGUGUAGGGCCCCCAGAAGUCAAGGAUCAGCACUGAGCACGCCACACACACACACACACACACACACACACACACACACACACACACAGAGACACAAGUAUUUAUUUGUUUAUUUAUUUUGUUUUAACAGAUGGAAACAAAGACAUUCUCAGUGGUAGAAUUUGCAGAUGACAAUUCUGUGGAAAUUGUCCCAACCACAUGGCUGGAGGAAACCACCAAAGGAACCAUUUGCUUUUGGACGUUUUUAAACACAAGGCAGCUGGUGAGAAAUAAAGCAUUGCUUGACAAGCAAAAGUGGAGGGCGGUUAUCAUUAAAGAAAAUUUGGCUACAAACAGACUCGUAUACCAAAGCCUUGCAAAAAUGCCAGCUUGUCACAGAAACAUCUAAUAUCGAAACAGAGGACAUAACACAUAAAAAGAGGGCACACAAAAAGCCUUGGCGAUAUCAGUCAGAAACUGAAAUCUCCUCAGAAGAUGAAAGCAGAGUUAUAAAGAAAAAAAAAGUGUCAAAACCUGUUCCACCUAAAUAUCAGCCACUUCCCAAAACUUAUCCUGAAUACAAGGACAAUCGAGAAAAGCCAAGUUCUCCGGAUUUAUUCUCAGAGGCAUCAUUGCCACAGUUCUCACUGCAGAAUGUGUCACCACCCCAACAAGUUUCAGCAGUGUCACAUCUGUUAAGAGAGCCAGAGUCCUCAUCUGAUGAAGCCACAAAGAACUACCGCAUAAAAGUCUUACAGAAGUUGCAAGAACUCUGUGAACUACCUACGGUCAAUCGGGGUUCGAAUCCAGGAGCAGCUGUUCGGAAAAUGCUGCGUAAGGUGGCAACCAAUGAGGUCCUGGGUGCAUACAGCCUUCGGGGGAAGAAAUCAAAACUAGCCUUCCAAGACCUCAGGAUUUGUUCCAUUAUUAUAGGAGCAACACAGAAGACUUUUAAAUCACUGAAGUCAGUUGAGGUGGAGGAUCUGAUUUCACUGGCCCUAAAAUUUGCCCCCCACAGGAAUUGAAAAUGAUGACUGAGGCAGAAGAAGAGAAAGACGAGUACAGAGGAAAAUGAUUAAACAUUUUGUAGUUAGCUGGUAGUAAUUUAUAGUUAUAGUUAAUUUAUUUGUUCAUGCUACAUGCUUGCUUUUGUGUGUGUAUUUUUUUUAUAUAUAUAUAUAUAUAUAUAUAUAUAUAUAUAUAUAUAUAUAUAUAUAUAUAUAUAUAUAUAUAUAUAUAUAUAUAUAUAUAUAUAUAUAUAUAUAUAUAUUUUGAUGAUUAAAUGUAUUGGAAUUCGACAAUAAAACUAUGGAUAUGAACAUGGAUUGUGGACUGAUUUAUUUAUAUAAAUUUACUGUUUUAUCUGUAACUAUGUACCAAUGGAGAAAAAGGUAAGAAUUAAUAAACGUGGUGAAUUGGGUUAGGUUCCCCUAAC